AAAUGUAUCUUAAAUUAAAAAAAUAAGACGCUUUGCUCGUUUAAAUCGUUUUUAAAGCUUAAUUGUAGCUUAAUUAUAAAGUCAGUUAAUUUCCAGUCGACCGAACAUAAAAAUUAUGGAUAUAUCAACGUUAAAAAUAUCACUGGUUUCUUUAAUUUUACGAUCAAGUGUGAAAUAUCGGUGCUUUUGGCAAACUCUGUAUAGGUAUUUAAAUGGAACAAGUGUAAAGUGAAGAAAAGCACACAACUAAUGUGCCAAUAUUAAAUUACUCGAAAAAUACACUAGGUACCAUUAUGUUGGAAAUUUUCGCAUUUUCGAACCGAACGAAUUAUAUCUGCCUGCAGUUAAUUCAUCAAAAUUAUUAUUAUUUAACUUUGCACAUAUGAUAUAAACUAUCAAAUGCACGUUGAAUUCAUAAAUAUUUCUAUCUAUUUGAUGUGUUCGAUUUGGAAAUGCUAAUUCCAGUUGUAUGUACAUGACACCUAGUAGAUAUACAUCUUGAUUUGCGAUAACUCGAAUGUCAAAUUUCAGUCAAACUAAUUGUAAGACGAAAUUAUCGAGAUCACAAUUGUAGCAUUUAUUACAGGGUAUUAUUGCAAAUGACAGAGAGAGGUGAACUCGUGAGAUGUGCAAGUCGCGAUGUUAUUGGAAAGCAGAAUACAUGAUUGACAGAGUAAAGAAUACGUACGUAUACGAGUAGAUAGAGAGAUACAGGCCAGUACCACAGAUCGAAGUCUAACAAGAUUGCAUACAAGAAGCCGCAAAUAGACACACAGCGUAUGUAAAGGGAAAACAGGCUCGCACAUUAUAAAUACAUAUAUUAGGGGCUUCAAGACUGAUUGAUAUUUACAUACCCGGAGUUGUGUGUCCGAUACGGUGUUUCUCUUUAGCCGGCUGACUCGCGGAUUGUUGACACGUGGUAGUCGCUGAGAUAGGUCCGGUAUCCUCGUUGGUAACUACUAUCGAAUCGUAACAUGCAACAGUGCAAAAGCCAACCCACCAGAUUUUCACUUAGAAGAUCUGAGUUUGAGAAAAUAUUAGCAUCCUACCUGUAUAACGGGUCCUAGUGAACAAUAAAGUAUGGAAAAAUUUCGUCUUUAUUCUCAAUAAUUAAAAAGAUGGCUUAUAAUUUGACAUGAAAACGCGACAUAUAACUGCAAAAAGUGAUUAUUUAACGAGUGUAAACCAAUAGCCUAGAGCGAAAGCCAGAAUACAAUGAAUUUGAAAUAAUACGCGAAUGAUCGGACUAUGCAAUAACUUACCGGAGUGAGGUGGCGCGAGAAGAGAUCGACUAGAGCUGAAAAAGGGUCUUAGCGA